rnacentral:scRNA from 1 species
AUAAAACGAGUGAAAGGCUCACAGCCGAACGGGGCACAUGA